UGGGGAAUCUUGCGCAAUGCGCGAAAGCGUGAUGCAGCGACACCGCGUGCGGGAUGAAGGCCUUCGGGUUGUAAACCGCUUUCAGGAGGGAAGAAACUGACGGUACCUCCAGAAGAAGCUCCGGCCAACUACGUGCCAGCAGCCGCGGUAAUACGUAGGGAGCGAACGUUGUCCGGAUUUAUUGGGCGUAAAGGGCUCGUAGGCGGUUCAACAAGUCGGUCGUGAAAGCCCGGAGCUCAACUCCGGGAUGCCGGUCGAAACUGUUGUGACUUGAGUUCGGUAGAGGUGAGUGGAAUUCUCGGUGUAGCGGUGGAAUGCGCAGAUAUCGAGAGGAACACCAUUAGCGAAGGCGGCUCACUGGGCCGAUACUGACGCUGAGGAGCGAAAGCGUGGGGAGCAAACAGGAUUAGAUACCCGGGUAGUC
rnacentral:rRNA from 1 species